UUCUUCAAAAAGCUCUAAGCCAGUUAUUAAUAACAGCCCAGUGAGUCUCCUGAUCCAUCUAGGAGCAUAUGGUGUUUUCACGAAAGAGAGAGAUCAUCUCCUUGACUUUGAACUUCGCUUUUUGAACGCCUGAACAGACUGGUAGAUUCGAUUCUCUAUCUGGAUGAAACAGAAAGGAAGGUUGUCUCAGAGAAGAUCUGCUUCCCAAAGUGCUACCCUAUAACUCAGGAGGAACCAAGGUUGCUAAGAGACCACCUGUGCUGAAUCCACUUUGUUCUAGCAAGAGCAGACGGAAAGAACACCAAGGAGCAGUGUUAGCUGUCACUACCUGGGAUUAAGGCAGGGAGCAGGAGCUUUCUGGAUAUGAC